UAAAUUCUAAUGUCCCAGAAAAAAUUAAAUGUCCAAAAGUCCGAAUAAAAAGUCCAUAAAAUUGAAAGUUCAUAACAUACUAAACCCAAAAAUGUAAAAACCUAGCUCUAGAGUCGCCAUCCAAUCCUAAACUCGAGGAUCACCUGAAUCAAAACAAACAAACAUGUGAACUUUACACCAAGCGUGUAAUUUGGCCCACAAAUCAUAGUAUAUUUCAAAAUGUGUCAUAUUUCAUAUAGAUGCAUAGCUUAUUACAUAUCAUAGCAUACUAGAUUUUAUAUCAGAGCAUAUCAUAUAACAAAACAUAUCCUACCCCCAUCCGCUAUACACUAUCUCUAUCUAGCCAAACACACCAAUUAAGACUACAAGAGUACAUCCAUCCCAUCACACCAAUAUGUGGAGGUAUGUCACUCAUAAUAUGCAGCUAAACUGCCAGAUAGAAAUUUGCAUUCUAGUUGCCAUAGUUGCAGUAAAUAUUGCCAUAUAAAACUUCUUCCAUUAUAUCAAAUCCCAUCCAAAACAUAGGCAUAAUAUCAUACAUACAACAUAAAUCGAAUGACAUGCAUAUACAUAUAUUUUCAUACGGAACAUAACACAGCAUGUGGUACUCAUAAAUCAUAUAGCUUGCAUAGCUAAUGUACAUAUUUAUAAAGCAUAUCAUAUCACAUUAAUAUACUUAUUGAGACUUACUUAACAUGCUUUCUACACAAACCUAUGUUUGCAUACUAAAACUUAUGUUUUUUCAGGCCUACAUAAUGCCCAUAGACUCAAUUUCUAAGUCCUCUAAUUGGCCCCUAAUCGGGCAUCAAAAUUGGCCCAACAAGCCCCCACACGGCCCGAAAAGCUAGCCUGUGUAAUCCACAGGACUUACCACAUGUCCAUGUUAUUUCACAGGGUGGUGUGCUCCACACGGCCGUGUGACACUGGACAGUUUCGAAAACAUUCCCUAUUUCGUAAUUUUCUCGAGUUUUAAAUAAUGUUUCGGGUUAAUUUCACACACCUGAUGACAUAAUUGAUUAACCACACUAUUGGGAACUCAUGAAACCUACAAUCAAUUAACAAAUCAUACUAAUUAACCAUCAAAGACCCACCCAAAUUGGCAUUCUUUUGUCAAAAUUCAGUCCCUAAAACGAGAUUCAUAUACUUACCGCUCAAAAACAACACCAAAGACGAGAACUACUCUGCUGGAGGAAUAAGAUUCUCACUCCCUUUGCCUAAUCGAAAACACAAGAGCGCUUAUCAAAUCUAAGAAAGAAGAUUAGGUACAAGCACAACUCCUAUCUUGUUCAAGAAACAAUCUCAAAGUAAAAGAACAGAAAUUAUUAGACGAAACUUACUCCUCGUUCACCGUGCACGAAUACAAGGGGGAAAAUGGAAUAGCAGCAAUUAAGAAACAGCAGAAAAGAAUAAUGGAAAAGAGGCUACAAAAGAAAAAGAAGAAAAAAAAUUGACUUUUAGG
rnacentral:lncRNA from 1 species